rnacentral:ncRNA from 2 species
UCGAUCCUUCGCGGGAGCUCGCCCCCCAGCCAAAGGGCAGGGGCGGGCUGAGAGGGCGCCGAUGCGCCGACCGCAUGAACCUGAACUGGGUAAUGCCAGCGGAGGGAGGUCAUGAGCGAUAUCG